rnacentral:rRNA from 1 species
GACGAACGCUGGCGGCGUGCCUAAUACAUGCAAGUAGAACGCUGAAGGAGGAGCUUGCUUCUCUGGAUGAGUUGCGAACGGGUGAGUAACGCGUAGGUAACCUGCCUGGUAGCGGGGGAUAACUAUUGGAAACGAUAGCUAAUACCGCAUAAGAGUAGAUGUUGCAUGACAUUUGCUUAAAAGGUGCAAUUGCAUCACUACCAGAUGGACCUGCGUUGUAUUAGCUAGUUGGUGGGGUAACGGCUCACCAAGGCGACGAUACAUAGCCGACCUGAGAGGGUGAUCGGCCACACUGGGACUGGGACACGGCCCAGACUCCUACGGGAGGCAGCAGUAGGGAAUCUUCGGAAAUGGACGGAAGUCUGACCGAGCAACGCCGCGUGAGUGAAGAAGGUUGUCGGAUCGUAAAGCUCUGUUGUAAGAGAAGAAAGAGGGUGAGAGUGGAAAGUUCACACUGUGACGGUAUCUUACCAGAAAGGGACGGCUAACUACGUG